CGGGACACGUGGUAUCCUGUCUGAAUAUGGGGGGACCAUCCUCCAAGGCUAAAUACUCCUGACUGACCGAUAGUGAACCAGUACCGUGAGGGAAAGGCGAAAAGAACCCCGGCGAGGGGAGUGAAAAAGAACCUGAAACCGUGUACGUACAAGCAGUGGGAGCACGCUUAGGCGUGUGACUGCGUACCUUUUGUAUAAUGGGUCAGCGACUUAUAUUCUGUAGCAAGGUUAACCGAAUAGGGGAGCCGAAGGGAAACCGAGUCUUAACUGGGCGUUAAGUUGCAGGGUAUAGACCCGAAACCCGGUGAUCUAGCCAUGGGCAGGUUGAAGGUUGGGUAACACUAACUGGAGGACCGAACCGACUAAUGUUGAAAAAUUAGCGGAUGACUUGUGGCUGGGGGUGAAAGGCCAAUCAAACCGGGAGAUAGCUGGUUCUCCCCGAAAGCUAUUUAGGUAGCGCCUCGUGAAUUCAUCUCCGGGGGUAGAGCACUGUUUCGGCAAGGGGGUCAUCCCGACUUACCAACCCGAUGCAAACUGCGAAUACCGGAGAAUGUUAUCACGGGAGACACACGGCGGGUGCUAACGUCCGUCGUGAAGAGGGAAACAACCCAGACCGCCAGCUAAGGUCCCAAAGUCAUGGUUAAGUGGGAAACGAUGUGGGAAGGCCCAGACAGCCAGGAUGUUGGCUUAGAAGCAGCCAUCAUUUAAAGAAAGCGUAAUAGCUCACUGGUCGAGUCGGCCUGCGCGGAAGAUGUAACGGGGCUAAACCAUGCACCGAAGCUGCGGCAGCGACGCUUAUGCGUUGUUGGGUAGGGGAGCGUUCUGUAAGCCUGUGAAGGUGUACUGUGAGGUAUGCUGGAGGUAUCAGAAGUGCGAAUGCUGACAUAAGUAACGAUAAAGCGGGUGAAAAGCCCGCUCGCCGGAAGACCAAGGGUUCCUGUCCAACGUUAAUCGGGGCAGGGUGAGUCGACCCCUAAGGCGAGGCCGAAAGGCGUAGUCGAUGGGAAACAGGUUAAUAUUCCUGUACUUGGUGUUACUGCGAAGGGGGGACGGAGAAGGCUAUGUUGGCCGGGCGACGGUUGUCCCGGUUUAAGCGUGUAGGCUGGUUUUCCAGGCAAAUCCGGAAAAUCAAGGCUGAGGCGUGAUGACGAGGCACUACGGUGCUGAAGCAACAAAUGCCCUGCUUCCAGGAAAAGCCUCUAAGCAUCAGGUAACAUCAAAUCGUACCCCAAACCGACACAGGUGGUCAGGUAGAGAAUACCAAGGCGCUUGAGAGAACUCGGGUGAAGGAACUAGGCAAAAUGGUGCCGUAACUUCGGGAGAAGGCACGCUGAUAUGUAGGUGAAGUCCCUCGCGGAUGGAGCUGAAAUCAGUCGAAGAUACCAGCUGGCUGCAACUGUUUAUUAAAAACACAGCACUGUGCAAACACGAAAGUGGACGUAUACGGUGUGACGCCUGCCCGGUGCCGGAAGGUUAAUUGAUGGGGUUAGCGCAAGCGAAGCUCUUGAUCGAAGCCCCGGUAAACGGCGGCCGUAACUAUAACGGUCCUAAGGUAGCGAAAUUCCUUGUCGGGUAAGUUCCGACCUGCACGAAUGGCGUAAUGAUGGCCAGGCUGUCUCCACCCGAGACUCAGUGAAAUUGAACUCGCUGUGAAGAUGCAGUGUACCCGCGGCAAGACGGAAAGACCCCGUGAACCUUUACUAUAGCUUGACACUGAACAUUGAGCCUUGAUGUGUAGGAUAGGUGGGAGGCUUUGAAGUGUGGACGCCAGUCUGCAUGGAGCCGACCUUGAAAUACCACCCUUUAAUGUUUGAUGUUCUAACGUGGACCCGUAAUCCGGGUUGCGGACAGUGUCUGGUGGGUAGUUUGACUGGGGCGGUCUCCUCCUAAAGAGUAACGGAGGAGCACGAAGGUUGGCUAAUCCUGGUCGGACAUCAGGAGGUUAGUGCAAUGGCAUAAGCCAGCUUGACUGCGAGCGUGACGGCGCGAGCAGGUGCGAAAGCAGGUCAUAGUGAUCCGGUGGUUCUGAAUGGAAGGGCCAUCGCUCAACGGAUAAAAGGUACUCCGGGGAUAACAGGCUGAUACCGCCCAAGAGUUCAUAUCGACGGCGGUGUUUGGCACCUCGAUGUCGGCUCAUCACAUCCUGGGGCUGAAGUAGGUCCCAAGGGUAUGGCUGUUCGCCAUUUAAAGUGGUACGCGAGCUGGGUUUAGAACGUCGUGAGACAGUUCGGUCCCUAUCUGCCGUGGGCGCUGGAGAAUUGAGGGGGGCUGCUCCUAGUACGAGAGGACCGGAGUGGACGCAUCACUGGUGUUCGGGUUGUCAUGCCAAUGGCACUGCCCGGUAGCUAAAUGCGGAAGAGAUAAGUGCUGAAAGCAUCUAAGCACGAAACUUGCC
rnacentral:rRNA from 1 species